rnacentral:rRNA from 1 species
UACAGAGGUCCCGAGCGUUGUUCGGAUUCACUGGGCGUAAAGGGUGCGUAGGUGGCGUGGUAAGUUUGAUGUGAAAGCUCAGGGCUUAACCCUGAAAUGGCAUUGAAUACUACUGUGCUGGAGGUUUGGAGGGGGGACUGGAAUUCUUGGUGUAGCAGUGAAAUGCGUAGAUAUCAAGAGGAACACCAGUGGCGAAGGCGAGUCCCUGGACAACACCUGACACUGAGGCACGAAAGCUAGGGGGAGCAAACAGG